rnacentral:lncRNA from 1 species
UGAAAAUGUGUUUUGUCUGUUUUACCAGUGUGCUCUUUUUACUGCAGUGAAAAAGUGAAUGAGUGAAAUGUGGUUUGUUGUGUUAAUUGUUAUGGUUUGCAUUUUUGUUGUGAGUUGUGAUGUUUUAAUGAGAUGUUGCUCAUUGUUGUUAUGCAUUGUAGGAUAUUACAUUGAUAACUGGUGUGGUUUUGUGGAUUGCCUUGAUUGGCUUGGCAUGGCAUGUUGUGUGGUUUGCUCAUGAACUGCUUGAACUAAAUUGGGUGUUUGCAGGACUGAUGUAGCUUUGUUGUGCCAGUCUUCGAAUGUCGGGUUUGGAAUUGGUGUGAACUGCAAGAUAGUUGAUGCCUUCUUGAUGACCUGCUGCAGGUUGGACUUAUUGCUGAAGCUGCAGUGCAAGGUGUUUAGGAUGUUAUGGUUAUUGAUGCAGGUUGAGUUGCAUUGUUGCAAUCAGGAGAUGUUGCUCUUGAUGCAACCCUGUUAUGUGAUGUGUGAAUUUUUGUUGCAACUUGUUUUGUAUUGUAGGUUUUGAUGUGAUGCUCAUGGUGUUGAAUAUGGAGGUCUGAUGAUGCAUUGGUAUAGGCCUACUGCAUGUGGCUUAUGGUAUGCAUGUUAAAUUAUUGUGUUUAUGCUUUUCCCUACUCUAGCUUGUGUAUGAUGCAUGUUAUGGACUCAUGUCAUGUUGCAGGUUGUUAUCAUAUUGUUGCUGAAAGUUGGAAUUGUUUGUUGCAGCUUUGCUCAUAGACCCAUCUCAUGGUGCAUUGGCCUUGCUUGUUGCAACUUUGAUGAUGGAAUGAUAUUGUUUUGAUGGGCUGCAUUGACAUUGCUUAUGGUCCAUAGUGUGAUGGAAUGAGCCUGUUGGAGAUUGGACUUGCAUUGUUGUUUGUAACAUGUAGUAGAACUAAGGCCUUCGGUGCACAUGAUCAUGUAAAUUCCAUCAAACACCUUCAUUAAUUUAAUGCACCUUUCAUGGAUGAAUGUUAGUGAAUGUAUGAAAGAGUGUUGGAAUUUUAGGUUUUUAGAAAGAUGUGUAGACUUUGGUCAAAGUUGACCAAAAAGUCAAGUCUUGACUAAAGUUAACUUUGGUCAACAAUACAUUUUUUUUGUAAUUUCAUUUGUAAAGUGACAUGAUAAAUGAACA